AGAGUUUGAUCAUGGCUCAGAACGAACGCUGGCGGCAGGCCUCAAACAUGCAAGUCUAGGGGGCGUAGCAAUACGUCACCGGCGGACGGGUGCGUAACACGUGGGAAUGUACUUAUUGGUUCGGAACAACUCAGGGAAACUUGAGCUAAUACCGAAUGUGCCCGAAAGGGGAAAGAUUUAUCGCCAAUAAAUCAGCCCGCGUCCGAUUAGCUAGUUGGUGGGGUAAAGGCCCACCAAGGCGACGAUCGGUAGCUGUUCUGAGAGGAAGAUCAGCCACACUGGGACUGAGACACGGCCCAGACUCCUACGGGAGGCAGCAGUUGGGAAUCUUGGACAAUGGGGGAAACCCUGAUCCAGCCAUGCCGCGUGAGUGAUGAAGGCCUUAGGGUUGUAAAACUCUUUCGGCGGGGACGAUAAUGACGGUACCCGCAGAAGAAGCUCCGGCUAACUUCGUGCCAGCAGCCGCGGUAAUACGAAGGGGGCUAGCGUUGUUCGGAAUUACUGGGCGUAAAGCGCGCGCAGGCGGCCUUUCAAGUCAGUGGUGAAAGCCCGGAGCUCAACUCCGGAACUGCCAUUGAAACUGUUUGGCUUGAGUACGAGAGAGGUGAGUGGAAUUCCCAGUGUAGAGGUGAAAUUCGUAGAUAUUGGGAAGAACACCGGUGGCGAAGGCGGCUCACUGGCCCGUAACUGACGCUCAGGCGCGACAGCGUGGGGAUCAAACAGGAUUAGAUACCCUAGUAGUCC
rnacentral:rRNA from 1 species